CCGACGGUGAGAGGCGAAAGCUGGGGGAGCAAACCGGAUUAGAUACCCGGGUAGUCCCAGCCGUAAACGAUGUGCGUUAGGUGUAUCGGUGACCACGAGUCACCGAGGUGCCGAAGAGAAAUCGUGAAACGUACCGCCUGGGAAGUACGGUCGCAAGGCUGAAACUUAAAGGAAUUGGCGGGGGAGCACCACAACAGGUGGAGCCUGCGGUUUAAUCGGACUCAACGCCGGAAAACUCACCAGAUAAGACAGCUGAAUGAUAGUCGGGCUGAAGACUCUACUUGACUAGCUGAGAGGAGGUGCAUGGCCGUCGUCAGUUCGUACUGUGAAGCAUCCUGUUAAGUCAGGCAACGAGCGAGACCCACGCAACAGUUGCUA
rnacentral:rRNA from 1 species